GCAAGGACGCCACUGAAGGCAGGAUAAUCUACCUCGGAUCGUCCGGGCCUUUGAGCUUCUGUUUUAGGGACUUCCCUCUCUGACUCUUAGUUUCCGUGUUUGUAAAACGGGUAGCGCUUAGCAUAGAGGGCUGCUGUGACAAUAGGGAUUCAACGUAAGGAUUCAGUGCAUUCACCGGCCUAGAACUCGUGGCACACUCCAGGCACGUCAUUCAUUCGUUCAGCAUAUUUGUGCCAGGUACUGUGGUGCAGAAAUUGAGGCUCCCAGGGGUCACUAAGCUUGCCUAAGGAGUCAGCUCAGUCUGGCUCCAAAAUGGUACCCCUCUAUUAGGUUGGCUCUUCCCAAGUCCACAACACCCUCGAAGUCUGGAGUUAUACCCAAACUUAUCCACGUGGGCCCCAGGACUCCUGGAGCUAUAUCCUUAUUAGCCGCACCCAGUGGGCGUAGAAAGUGGUUGCCUGACAGAGAAAGCUGUCUGACUGGUGUUCCAGUUGUCAGGUAGUCACCCAUGCUGGCCCGGGACACUGACUUAAAGGCAGGCAGGUACAUGUAGAGAGGGUCCACCCAGAACCUCCCAGCCCAUCAUCUGCUUCCCACACUCAGCCCCAGCACUGGACCCGGCACACCCCAGUGCUGCCUGCAGCGACCUGUUGAAUACAGUCACACACUCGCACGCAGGAGGGUGUAAGCCAGCCUCCGAUUCCCUAAAUCUCCCCAACGCCUGGGCAGCGACCCUCCCCUCUCCCUGCAGAGCUUCAGUCCCCGCCGCGCGGUCCAGCCGGAUCCGGUAAAAUGUUCCUGCCUCUUUAAGAGAAUGAACAGUCAGCCGGCGUUGCCUGGCAGCGCCUCGGCGGUCGCCAGGCAACGUCAACAAACGACUCAGCCGCCGUCUCCGCGCU